AGUUUGAUUCUGGCUCAGGAUGAACGCUGGCGGCGUGCUUAACACAUGCAAGUCGAACGGGAAUUACAUUUUAGCUUGCUAAGUUGUAAUUCUAGUGGCGGACGGGUGAGUAACGCGUGGGUAACCUGCCUUAUACAGGGGGACAACAGUUGGAAACGACUGCUAAUACCGCAUAAGCGCACAGAUAGGCAUCUAUCAGUGUGAAAAACUCCGGUGGUAUAAGAUGGACCCGCGUCUGAUUAGCUAGUUGGUGAGGUAACGGCCCACCAAGGCGACGAUCAGUAGCCGGCCUGAGAGGGCAAUCGGCCACAUUGGGACUGAGACACGGCCCAAACUCCUACGGGAGGCAGCAGUGGGGAAUAUUGCACAAUGGAGGAAACUCUGAUGCAAGCGACGCCGCGUGAGUGAAGAAGUAUUUCGGUAUGUAAAGCUCUAUCAGCAGGAAAGAAAAUGACGGUACCUGACUAAGAAGCCCCGGCUAACUACGUGCCAGCCGCUGC
rnacentral:rRNA from 1 species